UACAGAGGUCUCAAGCGUUGUUCGGAUUCAUUGGGCGUAAAGGGUGUGUAGGUGGCGCCGUAAGUCGGGUGUGAAAUUUCGGAGCUUAACUCCGAAACUGCAUUCGAUAACUGCGGUGCUUGAGGACUGGAGAGGAGACUGGAAUUCAUGGUGUAGCAGUGAAAUGCGUAGAGAUCAAUGAGGAAGACCAGUGGCGAAGGCGG
rnacentral:rRNA from 1 species